rnacentral:rRNA from 1 species
UACCCUAGGGCCUCCCUUGGGGCUAAUAAGGGCCCGCCAUUUUCGUGCCCGGUCUAGUUCGGCCCCUUUAGCUCGCGCUGCAAACCUGCCUAAGCAACCCCCCCGUAGGGACGGGAUGGGCGCAGCAAAGGGGCCCCUUUGCAAGGUGCGGAGGUCCCCAGCCCCUCUCUUCGGUGCCGAGCUCGCUCUGGCGCUUGCGUCGCUGGCUUUCCGCCGCUGCUGGCCUCUCUGCCUGGCGGGGGAGGGAGGCCACGAGGUGGAGGUACGAGGCAGGUGGUCGCUGGUGUUGCAGGCACCAGCAGAACGAGGAGGAAGGGGUCUAGAGGGGAGGAGGAGCUUCAAGGACAGGGGAGGCCACUGCCGUUGCGGCCGCCAAGGCGCCAGUUGAAGGUGGAUGAAGCUAAUUCCCUUUGACUACGGACUUGAACGACCAGGUCUAGGUUCUUGGGCUCGGAAGAGAAGAUUUAUUAAGGUGUACCGCAUCUGUUUUAAAUGAAGUAACCACGGGACUCGGAGACUGUAAUCGUUUACUAAACGAAAUAGGCUUUUGCGAUCCGCCACCGCCGCCGCAACACAAGUCACCGAUUCACGGAAAACCAAGCAACCAGUAACUUUUCUAAAGUAGACUACUUCUUUCCCAGAACGAAUUCGUUCUCUUUCAUGACGGUUCAUAGUUGAUCGAUCAAUGUCUAAGUGAAUAGUCCCUUCAUUGAACAUUGUCGUCACCUCACACCCGUGCACGGUAUAUAGAUAAUCAUUAAACCAUGAAGGUAGCACGAACACGAUCGAGGUCCAAACUUAGAAGGAAUCAUGAUAUAAAAAUCUUCACUACGAAUGACAACCAAUCCCAGAAGAAGACUUCUUGUUAUUGUUAAAAAAAUAUAAACAACGUCUUCAAGACGAUACGUAAGUAAUUGUGAAUGCUGUGACGGCCUCUUAUGUAACAAACACUUAACAAACAAACCGACGGAAUGCAGGAAAAUAUCUAUCUCAGGAAAUGAAGAGGCGUGAUUUUUUAGGUACAAACAAAACAGGAAUGAAAAGGGGAGUAUGUAAAAAAAACAGGGGUAAAAAUGAUUAAAACUUUAAUAUAUAACCGCCCUUCGAAGUGUUAUUUCUAUAUAACGAAUAGUAGAAGGUAAGAAGGCAGAAUUCAAUAAAUCAUUAAUAAUGACUUUACAUACUGUGAUAUUGGACUUUGUCUUCAAUCAUAAGACCGAGAAUAGAAAAAAGAGUUGUUCAAGACGACUAACAAUAAUUUUUAGAUUCGAUAUCACUAGUACACAAGUACAUUAACAAUGUUAAGAGUCAACCUAUGUACCACGAUUGAAAGAAUGAGAAAAAAACAUCAAGUUGCUUGUAGCUCAACACCAUGAACUACAGCUACGCCUCACCGCUUUUCUGGACUCAUCCUGAUCACUAAAAGUGGAACGUUGAGUUAGGAUAAGCUUUCACACAUACGGAACCUGUACACUAUUAAGUCUUGGAAAACAUCACUUGUUUGAAUUUGUUACCACGUAGUUACGGUUAACAAAACUAACGAAAAUACAACCGUGUGCUUUUUGCCAAAUCCAGUUGCGAACUAACGAUAUUUUACGUUUCGCUACCUAUAAACUUAGAACCACUUCACUACCUAUAGUCAACAACAACAAAAAAAACUGCUUU